rfam:Pseudomassariella vexata strain CBS 129021 BCR38scaffold_10, whole genome shotgun sequence.
GCCCAUAUGGCCGAGUGGUUAUGGCGACAGUUUUAAGUUCUUUGCGACGAUUCACUGUUGGAGCAAUCCGCGCAAGUUCGAUCCUUGCUGUGGGCA